UGCAUGGGUGGUUCAGUGGUAGAAUUCUCGCCUGCCACGCGGGAGGCCCGGGUUCGAUUCCCGCCCAUGCAG